UAUACCGUGAAACUGCGAAUGGCUCAUUAAAUCAGUUAUCGUUUAUUUGAUAGUACCUUACUACUUGGAUAACCGUGGUAAUUCUAGAGCUAAUACAUGCUUAAAACCCCAACUUCGGGAGGGGUGUAUUUAUUAGAUAAAAAACCAACGCCCUUCGGGGCUUCUUGGUGAUUCAUGAUAACUUUACGGAUCGCAUGGCCUUGCGCCGGCGACGGUUCAUUCAAAUUUCUGCCCUAUCAACUUUCGAUGGUAAGGUAUUGGCUUACCAUGGUUUCAACGGGUAACGGGGAAUUAGGGUUCGAUUCCGGAGAGGGAGCCUGAGAAACGGCUACCACAUCCAAGGAAGGCAGCAGGCGCGCAAAUUACCCAAUCCCGACACGGGGAGGUAGUGACAAUAAAUACUGAUACAGGGCUCUUUUGGGUCUUGUAAUUGGAAUGAGUACAAUUUAAACCUCUUAACGAGGAACAAUUGGAGGGCAAGUCUGGUGCCAGCAGCCGCGGUAAUUCCAGCUCCAAUAGCGUAUAUUAAAGUUGUUGCAGUUAAAAAGCUCGUAGUUGAAACUUGGGUCUGGCUGGCAGGUCCGCCUCACCGCGUGUACUUGUCCGGCCGGGCCUUCCUUCUGGAGAACCUCAUGCCCUUCACUGGGCGUGUUGGGGACCAGGACUUUUACUUUGAAAAAAUUAGAGUGUUCAAAGCAGGCCUUUGCUCGAAUACGUUAGCAUGGAAUAAUAGAAUAGGACGUGCGGUCCUAUUUUGUUGGUUUCUAGGACCGCCGUAAUGAUUAAUAGGGACAGUCGGGGGCAUCAGUAUUCAAUUGUCAGAGGUGAAAUUCUUGGAUUUAUUGAAGACUAACUACUGCGAAAGCAUUUGCCAAGGAUGUUUUCAUUAAUCAGUGAACGAAAGUUAGGGGAUCGAAGACGAUCAGAUACCGUCGUAGUCUUAACCGUAAACUAUGCCGACUAGGGAUCGGGCGAUGUUCUUUUUCUGACUCGCUCGGCACCUUACGAGAAAUCAAAGUU
rnacentral:rRNA from 1 species